UAGGGAAUUUUCCGCAAUGGGCGAAAGCCUGACGGAGCAAUGCCGCGUGGAGGUGGAAGGCCUACGGGUCGUCAACUUCUUUUCUCGGAGAAGAAACAAUGACGGUAUCUGAGGAAUAAGCAUCGGCUAACUCUGUGCUAG
rnacentral:rRNA from 1 species